UACGAAGGGGGCGAGCGUUGUUCGGAAUUACUGGGCGUAAAGGGCGCGUAGGCGGCCGAUCAAGGUAGAUGUGAAAGUCCUGGGCUUAACCUGGGGACUGCAUUUGAUACUGAUUGGCUUGAAUUCGGGAGAGGAUAGCGGAAUUCCCAGUGUAGAGGUGAAAUUCGUAGAUAUUGGGAAGAACACCGGUGGCGAAGGCGGCUAUCUGGACCGACAUUGACGCUGAGGCGCGAAAGCGUGGGGAGCAAACAGG
rnacentral:rRNA from 1 species